UACGUAGGGACCAAGCGUUGUUCGGAUUUACUGGGCGUAAAGGGCGCGUAGGCGGCGCGGUAAGUCACUUGUGAAAUCUCUGAGCUUAACUCAGAACGGCCAAGUGAUACUGCAGUGCUAGAGUGUGGAAGGGGCAACUGGAAUUCUCGGUGUAGCGGUGAAAUGCGUAGAUAUCGAGAGGAACACCUGCGGCGAAGGCGGGUUGCUGGGCUGACACUGACGCUGAGGCGCGAAAGCUAGGGGAGCAAACGGG
rnacentral:rRNA from 1 species